rnacentral:tRNA from 1 species
GGCCCGAUGGCCAAGUGGUAAGGCAUGCGACUGCAACUCGCUUAUCGCCGGUUCGAUUCCGGCUCGGGCCUCCC